rnacentral:rRNA from 1 species
CCGAGGAGACUGCCAAACUUGGGACCGGGAGAGGCGAGAGGUUCUUCUGGGGUAGGGGUAAAAAUCCUGUAAUCCUAGAAGGACCACCGGUGGCGAAGGCGUCUCGCUAGAACGGAUCCGACGGUGAGGGACGAAGCCCUGGGUCGCAAACGGGAUUAGAUACCCCGGUAGUCCAGGGUGUAAACGCUGCAGACUUGGUGUUGGGGGCCCUACGGGGGCGUUCAGUGCCGGAGAGAAGUUGUUAAGUCUGCUACUUGGGGAGUACGUCCGCAAGGAUGAAACUUAAAGGAAUUGGCGGGGGAGCACCGACCAACGGGAGGAGCGUGCGGUUUAAUUGGAUUCAACACCGGAAAACUCACCAGCGGCGACUGUUACAUGAAAGUCAGGCCGAUGACCUUACUAGAUUUUCAGAGGAGAGGUGCAUGG